GUAAAGGACAGAUUGCUAUUAAUCCCAUUUAAGAUGCUCCCCCUUUCUUUGAACAUAACCCAUUAUUCUUGCUACUUUCUGAAGCAGACCUCGAGGUCCUCUCUCAUGAGUGUCUGCAGUUGCAUGGUUGUGGGUGCCUACAUGUCCAGAAUCUAUUCAAAACAUUUCCCUUUUUGGUCAUUUUGACAUUGGAUGAAAGCCAGAAGUCAAGUGGUUACAGAUCCCAUGAAUAAGGUAGAGGAGGAUGUGCUGUCAGGUUUUCACUUGACAGGAAUCGUAGACUGUAAACUGCGUCAGAAAGUGGCAAGAACAAUAGGAACACAUCUGAUAGGAAUCAUUAUUGCUUGUGGUAACAAAAAAUCAUGAAUACACAGAAAAGGUUUUGGCUCCUGAAUUUGGUAGGUAAAAACGGUAUGGAAUUUUGUUAAAAUAUAGCCAAAUACCAUCCUCCACUAGCAGAAGUACUUACUUAGAGAGCGCCUGACAUCUGCUAGGCACAGUUGUAAACACCCACACAUGCCCAUAGUGAGGCAGUAUUACUCCCAUUUUACAUAUAAGGAAACUAGAAGUCAGCCGCUUGGCCAGGCCAGCCAGUUGGUUGGUGGGAUGGAUUAUGUGAUGAUGUACUUUCUUUUUUUUUUUUAGGUUUUUUUCCGGUACCAGGAAUUGAACUCACAACCUUGCACUUGCCAGGCAAGCAUUGUGCCGCUGAGCUAAAUCCCCAGCCCCGAUGAUGAACUUUCUAAGUGCCACUGAAAACAAGUUUGGGUCUAUGAAAAAGGAGCCUCGCUUGGACACAAGCUCUGUGCGGACACAACUGUGUUUGUUUUGUUUGACUUUAGUUUGCAGCACGAAGCACUACGCUCAGCACACAGUAAGAUGUUGGAUGAGAUGAGCAGCUUUGCUCCACUAGGUGCUUCCUGCCAUGCUUUUUUACCUCAUCACAAAGCCACCAGGAUAAGACUCACUGGACUCAUGGACUCACUGAAACAUCCAAAACUGAAAGCCAGAAUAAACCUUUCAUCUGUUAAGGUGGCCUAGUUCAGGUAUUUUUGUCACAGUGCUGGAAACCUGACUACCACAUCCUUUAAUGUUCAGAAAUGCACAAAGCCUGACACCUGCCCUCCCUGGCCGGAGCCUACAUCAGCUGCUACAAGAGUUCUUUGGCCCUACUUUGCAUUCCUGCCCUGGGCUUCACAGGCACAUUCAGCAAAUUCAGACUCACCCCAGUGAGGCUGAGGACAGAAUGAUAGAGACAUGUCAACAGGAACAGAAGAACAUUUUCAAACACUGGCUUAUUCUUAAGCCACACUGUGAGUUCAUUAUUAAUGUAAUAGCUGUCUUGUGAAUAAGGUAAAUACACUGCACUGCCCCUCCCCGCUUUUUUUUGUUAAUUUGUUAAGUGUAACAUUAUUAUUAUACCAUGAUUAGCCAUGUACAGGGAUGUGGGUUUAUUCCACUCAAUUAUGGUUUGAAAGUGAUUUAUUCCCCACAGUUAAUCCCCAAGAUGCUGUGGCAUGAGGAGGGUCAAAAGUUAAUCCAGCAAUGAUGCUUUGAGGGUGGCACGUAGGAAGUUAUUAGAUUAGAUUAGGCGGCUAGGGUGGAACCCCAUGAUUGAAUCACGGUGGGUUCAGAAGGAGAGGGAGAGAGAGACCACACACAGAGACACACACUCCUGCCAUGACAUGACGCAGCUGAGGGGGCUUUGCCAGAGGCUGUAUCAUGCUGUGUGGACUAACAGCCUUCAAAACCGUGAGCCCAUAUAAACCUCUUUUCCUUAGGAAGUAGCCUGCCUCUCACAUUUUGUUGUAUUAAAGAAAAUCUGACUAGUACACUUCCCGUCCAGUGGAGCAACUUUCAGGCCUAAUUGGGAUAAGUGCGAUGAACCCAUUGCAUUUCCGGUGCACCAGCUCCAUAUUCACCAUCUGUGUGUGCACGUCUCAGAACACUCAGCCAUUCCUUCCUGAGCGUGCACACUCUUUGUCAUGAAUCAAAAACUCAGCUUUUAAAUUUUAUUUGCUUCUCUUUAGGUUCAUUUGGGAUUGGUUUUAUUCUUCAACGACCCUGGAGGGAUAAAAUCAGCCAUGUCCUGCCUCUGUCCACCUGUGAGAAGCCCUCGCCUGGACCACACGCCUCGACACUUCCCAAGGCCGCUUCCGUGUCCAGAUUCAGGGAAAUUAAAUAUCACCUAUUUUAAUUUGAACUAGAAAAUUUAAAAUCACAUAUGUGGCUCAUAAUUAUGGCUCACAUUGUACUUCUCUUGUAUGAUGCAGGCACCAGUGUUUAUGUAUGUGAAGUUCUGCACUUGUGCAAAGUGCAAAAUUAUAGAGCCAAUAUAAUUUAAUUCAGUCUUGGCUAGAAAAUGUGCCUGAAACUAGACUUUUUCUUACCCGAUUCAUACUUGUUUUGUUACAAUAAAGACAACCUUAUAUUUAAUGCUGGGAAGAGCAAA